rnacentral:rRNA from 1 species
UGUUUCAAAUACUUUGAUUAGACCCCACUAUGCCCAGCCGUAAACAAUUAAUCCACAACCACAAGCGCCAGGGAAUUACGAGCCAAGCUUAAAACCCAAAGGAUUUGACGGUGUCCCACCCCCCUAGAGGAGCCUGUUCUAUAAUCGAUGAUCCCCGCUACACCCGACCAUUUCUUGCUUAUAUCAGUCUGUAUACCUCCGUCGAAAGCUUACCAUGUGAACGCCCCCCACCGUAGGUUCAAUGACCCCCGUCAAUACGUCAGGUCAAGGUGCAGCUUAAGAAAUGGGAAGCGAUGGGCUACAAUUUUUAACCUAGAACAAACGAAAGGCUAUGUGAAAUCAUAGUCACGAAGGCGGAUUUAGUAGUAAGAAGAAAAUAGAGUGUCUUUAACCUGCUCUGAC